rnacentral:rRNA from 1 species
GAUGAACGCUGGCGGCAGGCCUAACACAUGCAAGUCGAACGGUAACAGGAAGCAGCUUGCUGCUUCGCUGACGAGUGGCGGACGGGUGAGUAAUGUCUGGGAAGCUGCCUGAUGGAGGGGGAUAACUACUGGAAACGGUAGCUAAUACCGCAUAAUGUCGCAAGACCAAAGAGGGGGACCUUCGGGCCUCUUGCCAUCGGAUGUGCCCAGAUGGGAUUAGCUUGUUGGUGGGGUAACGGCUCACCAAGGCGACGAUCCCUAGCUGGUCUGAGAGGAUGACCAGCCACACUGGAACUGAGACACGGUCCAGACUCCUACGGGAGGCAGCAGUGGGGAAUAUUGCACAAUGGGCGCAAGCCUGAUGCAGCCAUGCCGCGUGUAUGAAGAAGGCCUUCGGGUUGUAAAGUACUUUCAGCGGGGAGGAAGGGAGUAAAGUUAAUACCUUUGCUCAUUGACGUUACCCGCAGAAGAAGCACCGGCUAACUCCGUG